ACAAACACACACACAAACUUGACAAAAAAGAUAUUUGAGACAAUUAAAUAUAAAAUCGUCUAUCUGCCUAUAUUACUGUCAUCCAUGACUUCUUUUUAUAAAUGAUUGUAUGUAAUGGUAUGUUCAACCAAAGUAGAAAAACAACAUUUAUAAUCAACUGUUUUAUUUGGGCAUGUAUUGCACUUAUGAACUUUAGUUUCAAAUCAAUAAGCUAAAAUGUUUUUUUUAUCAUAACAGCGCAUGUAUGUUGUAUGCUGCAAUGUUAGAGUCUAUUAUUUUAACAUUUGAUCAUAGGAUACUUCAUAGUACUUUUGAGCAGGACAAACUGUUACAAUGUAUUGUACAAACUGACCACUGAGGUGCAUAUAUGAGAGCUGUAUGUAUGUGUGUUUGAUGAUUGUGGUUUAUCGGGCACGACGUGGCCUAAAGUGUGCCGAUGUGCCAAAAAACUCAAAACCCUGAUAGUGGUUUAUAUCAUUACAUGUAAUAGUUAAUACAUGAAAACUUGUCAAUUCAUUCCAGUUCAGAAAAUGUCUGAAUUCAGUCCUGGUAGUGAGAUGAUUUCAUUUUAAAUAGUACAAUGUUCUGAAGACAAAGAAAUCUGUUCAGCUUUUUGAUUCCAUUAAAACUAGUCAUUAAGAUUUCUUGAGUUGUUGUUUAACUGUGUAAAUUGUAAUAUUUCUUGUCCUUAUUAACUAUAACUUACUUAUAUAGAAUGUUAUAUCAACAUUCUUUCAUUUAUGACCUUUUCAUUUGUAAUGGGAUGGCUUUCAAAGCAGGAUAAUAUUUAAAA